GAGUGGCGAACGGGUGAGUAACACGUGGGUAACCUGCCCAGAAGUAGGGGAUAACACCUGGAAACAGAUGCUAAUACCGUAUAAUAGAGAAAACCGCAUGGUUUUCUUUUGAAAGAUGGCUCUGCUAUCACUUCUGGAUGGACCCGCGGCGCAUUAGCUAGUUGGUGAGGUAACGGCUCACCAAGGCAGUGAUGCGUAGCCGACCUGAGAGGGUAAUCGGCCACAUUGGGACUGAGACACGGCCCAGACUCCUACGGGAGGCAGCAGUAGGGAAUCUUCCACAAUGGACGAAAGUCUGAUGGAGCAACGCCGCGUGAGUGAAGAAGGGUUUCGGCUCGUAAAGCUCUGUUGUUAAAGAAGAACGUGGGUGAGAGUAACUGUUCACCCAGUGACGGUAUUUAACCAGAAAGCCACGGCUAACUACGUGCCAGCAGCCGCGGUAAUACGUAGGUGGCAAGCGUUAUCCGGAUUUAUUGGGCGUAAAGCGAGCGCAGGCGGUCUUUUAAGUCUAAUGUGAAAGCCUUCGGCUCAACCGAAGAAGUGCAUUGGAAACUGGGAGACUUGAGUGCAGAAGAGGACAGUGGAACUCCAUGUGUAGCGGUGAAAUGCGUAGAUAUAUGGAAGAACACCAGUGGCGAAGGCGGCUGUCUGGUCUGUAACUGACGCUGAGGCUCGAAAGCAUGGGUAGCGAACAGGAUUAGAUACCCUGGUAGUCCAUGCCGUAAACGAUGAUUACUAAGUGUUGGAGGGUUUCCGCCCUUCAGUGCUGCAGCUAACGCAUUAAGUAAUCCGCCUGGGGAGUACGACCGCAAGGUUGAAACUCAAAAGAAUUGACGGGGGCCCGCACAAGCGGUGGAGCAUGUGGUUUAAUUCGAAGCUACGCGAAGAACCUUACCAGGUCUUGACAUCUUCUGACAGUCUAAGAGAUUAGAGGUUCCCUUCGGGGACAGAAUGACAGGUGGUGCAUGGUUGUCGUCAGCUCGUGUCGUGAGAUGUUGGGUUAAGUCCCGCAACGAGCGCAACCCUUAUUACUAGUUGCCAGCAUUAAGUUGGGCACUCUAGUGAGACUGCCGGUGACAAACCGGAGGAAGGUGGGGACGACGUCAAAUCAUCAUGCCCCUUAUGACCUGGGCUACACACGUGCUACAAUGGAUGGUACAACGAGUCGCGAGACCGCGAGGUUAAGCUAAUCUCUUAAAACCAUUCUCAGUUCGGACUGUAGGCUGCAACUCGCCUACACGAAGUCGGAAUCGCUAGUAAUCGCGGAUCAGCAUGCCGCGGUGAAUACGUUCCCGGGCCUUGUACACACCGCCCGUCACACCAUGAGAGUUUGUAACACCCAAAGCCGGUGGGGUAACCUUUUAGGAGCUAGCCGUCUAAGGUGG
rnacentral:rRNA from 1 species